rnacentral:rRNA from 1 species
AGCUUGCUACCUGACCUAGCGGCGGACGGGUGAGUAAUGCUUAGGAAUCUGCCUAUUAGUGGGGGACAACAUUCCGAAAGGAAUGCUAAUACCGCAUACGCCCUACGGGGGAAAGCAGGGGAUCUUCGGACCUUGCGCUAAUAGAUGAGCCUAAGUCAGAUUAGCUAGUUGGUGGGGUAAAGGCCUACCAAGGCGACGAUCUGUAGCGGGUCUGAGAGGAUGAUCCGCCACACUGGGACUGAGACACGGCCCAGACUCCUACGGGAGGCAGCAGUGGGGAAUAUUGGACAAUGGGCGAAAGCCUGAUCCAGCCAUGCCGCGUGUGUGAAGAAGGCCUUUUGGUUGUAAAGCACUUUAAGCGAGGAGGAGGCUACUUGGAUUAAUACUCUAGGAUAGUGGACGUUACUCGCAGAAUAAGCACCGGCUAACUCUGUGCCAGCAGCCGCGGUAAUACAGAGGGUGCGAGCGUUAAUCGGAUUUACUGGGCGUAAAGCGUGCGUAGGCGGCUUUUUAAGUCGGAUGUGAAAUCCCUGAGCUUAACUUAGGAAUUGCAUUCGAUACUGGGAAGCUAGAGUAUGGGAGAGGAUGGUAGAAUUCCAGGUGUAGCGGUGAAAUGCGUAGAGAUCUGGAGGAAUACCGAUGGCGAAGGCAGCCAUCUGGCCUAAUACUGACGCUGAGGUACGAAAGCAUGGGGAGCAAACAGGAUUAGAUACCCUGGUAGUCCAUGCCGUAAACGAUGUCUACUAGCCGUUGGGGCCUUUGAGGCUUUAGUGGCGCAGCUAACGCGAUAAGUAGACCGCCUGGGGAGUACGGUCGCAAGACUAAAACUCAAAUGAAUUGACGGGGGCCCGCACAAGCGGUGGAGCAUGUGGUUUAAUUCGAUGCAACGCGAAGAACCUUACCUGGUCUUGACAUAGUAAGAACUUUCCAGAGAUGGAUUGGUGCCUUCGGGAACUUACAUACAGGUGCUGCAUGGCUGUCGUCAGCUCGUGUCGUGAGAUGUUGGGUUAAGUCCCGCAACGAGCGCAACCCUUUUCCUUAUUUGCCAGCGGGUUAAGCCGGGAACUUUAAGGAUACUGCCAGUGACAAACUGGAGGAAGGCGGGGACGACGUCAAGUCCUCAUGGCCCUUAUGGGUAGGGCUUCACACGUCAUACAAUGGUGCAUACAGAGGGUUGCCAAGCCGCGAGGUGGAGCUAAUCCCAGAAAAUGCAUCGUAGUCCGGAUCGUAGUCUGCAACUCGACUACGGAAGCUGG